CUGUUUCUUAAAUAUUUAUUGAAUUUGACUUUUAAGUGAAAAGGCUUAAAUAAAUCAAAAAGACGAUAAGACCCUAUAAAUCUUUACAAUAAAUAUGUUUUAUAUUUUAAUUUAUAAGUGUAUAAGAAAUAAAAUAUAGAUUUGUUUCGCUGGGGCGGCGUAGAUAUAUAAAUAAACUGUCUAUAAUUUAAAUACAGUAAUUAUUGCUUAAUAUAAAUUGAUCCUUAAAUAGAUUAAAAGAUUAAGAUACUUUAGGGAUAACAGCGUUAUUUUUUUUAAGAGUUCUUAUCGAAGAAAAAGUUUGCGACCUCGAUGUUGAAUUAAAGUAUCUCU
rnacentral:rRNA from 1 species